CCGUGUCCAAUACAAAUCCCACCACUUACCCGUUUUUUCUCUAAGUUCUGGGGAUUUGUAUUGGACACGGUGAAUGGUUUACCGUGUCCAAUACAACUAGCCAACCUUCGCCCUUUUUUUGGCGCCAAAAACCAAAUCAAAAUAUAUUUCACAACAUCGGCAUAUUUUUGGAGCAAAAAAUAAAAUCAAUACACAUCACAACAUCACAGCACAACAAUACAAUACAGAUACCUAAACGCAACAGUACAAUACAACAUCACAGCAUCACAACACAACAGUACAAUAUACACAUCACUACCAACAGAAUCUCAAUAAAUUAUCAAUACCAGAUAAUCACAAUAGAAUAUCCAAAAUUAAAGCAAGUUUUACAAUAAUAUAGAAAUAUAAUAUCACAUUCUCCUCCUACCCCCUCGACUACGUCGACUACCACGUCCGCGACCACGAUCAACACUAUGCUCAUCAAAAGGCUCUAAGAUCUCCAACUGGUCC
rnacentral:lncRNA from 1 species